rnacentral:miRNA from 1 species
GAAAGUUUAUUUUGUGUGUCUGUGUGUGUGUAUGUGUGUGUGUGUAUAUUUAUAUAUAUAUAUUCACAGAAAUUUUUACAA